ACGAAGGGUGCGAGCGUUAUUCGGAUUUAUUGGGCGUAAAGGGUGUGUAGGUGGUAAUCUAAGUCAGCUGUUAAAGACCCCGGCCUAACCGGGGACAUGCGGCAGAUACUGGUUUACUAGAGGAAGGAAGAGAGAAGUGGAAUUCUCGGAGUAGCGGUAAAAUGCGUGGAUCUCGAGAGGAACACCAAUGGCGAAGGCAGCUUCUUGGUCCUUUUCUGACACUGAAACACGAAAGCGUGGGGAGCAAACAGGAUUAGAUACCCUGGUAGUCCACGCUGUAAACGAUGAUCACUAGACGUCAGACCUGUUUUUACAGGAUUGGUGUCGUAGCUAACGCGUUAAGUGAUCCGCCUGGGGACUACGGUCGCAAGAUUA
rnacentral:rRNA from 1 species